rnacentral:rRNA from 1 species
GUCUAUGGCCAUGACACCCUGAACACAUCUGAUCUUGUCUGAUCUUGGAAGCUAAGUAGGGUCGGGCUUGGUUACUACUUGGAUGGGAGACCACUUAGGAAGACCAGGUGCUGAAGGUG